AAGAUAUCAGCUCUGCUCCAAAGACUCUCACUGUCCAAAGUAUCACAGGAACAUGGACACCAGCAGCUGCAGGAGUUUCUGCAGCUCUGCUGGUUUUGGUACUUCUCACUGUCUACUGCUGGAGGAGAAAAAAGAGUAAUUCUCACAAACCUUCAAGACAUGAAACUCUGGAUGACUCGCACCUGUAUGAUGAAAUCUCACCCCAACCAGCAGAGCAGGGUCGUCACUACCCCAGACUUAAUUCUUCAGAGGAUGAAAUGGAUCAUCUCUAUUCCACCAUUCCUCCAUUUGAGCCCCCUGACCAUGCCCACUGUGGACAACUUCUGACCCAGUAUAACCCCUAAGUGAGUCUUUUCUGUGAGUCCAAUUUCACUAACCACACUCAGGCCUGAAUACUGUCAAAUCUCUUAAAUAGAACCUGAAGCAGGCUAAAAAGUCCCAAAAAGCAGCAUCAUGUGAUGGUUCAACGAAACUCAAGAACAGCUGAGAAGAUAUGUCAUUAACAUCUAUCAGUCAGUCUAGAAAGGUUUACAUAAGAUAUUUCAAAGGCUUCGGACUCCAGCGAACCACAGUAAGAGCCAUUAUCCACAAAUGAAGAAAAUAUUUUGUGGCUGUCCCCAUCUAGACACCUUAUCUCCACCCACUCUGCCUCCAGCAGUGACCCUGAUCAAACCAGGAUUUGUGGCAUCUUUGUAGAGCGUGACUCCACCAUAGCUUGCCCAAAACUUCCCUGUGAUUCUUGCAGCAGGCUGAGCAUGCUGUCUGUAACUCUCCCAAUAAGACGAGCAGCAGCCGUAUGAUCCAUUCAGUCAUAGGCCACCAGCACGCCUCGACCAUGGCUUAAAAAGACUAAAAAAAGACUGGAGAUCACCCCCCUCUCUCAUACACUCAGUCAUACACUCUCAUCCAGCAGCGGCGGUGCAGGCCAAGACCCAGGCCAAGCAAGGAGGUUUUCCAAGACCUGCCCCUGGCACGCAGUCUCCUCCUGCAGUGUCUCUGCUGAUGCACCACCACCUGCUAACACUGCAUCAUCACCAGGUCUGCCACCAUCUGCACUAGCACCUCGACCAGCUGUAUGUGUUGUGGAUUCUGCUUGAUGUACUGUGAUGGACGUUUUUAAAUCCUAUUUAUUCUUUUGAUUUUGUGCAACCUGUGUCUGUGCCUACACAAAAAUGUGGGCACACGUUGGAUCUUGAUUUGACUCAUGCUUCACCUCUAACUUAAAGGUUUUGUGAUGUUGUAUGGUAGGAUCAUAAGCCUGUCUUGUUUGAGGUUUCCCUUCCUUCCUUGCUGCCAGAGGAAGGUUUAGGAGAGCUGAACGUAGAUGGAAGAAGAAUCAGCUUCAGGUGUCAUACCAAAUAUUACAGUAUUACUGGAAUUCAUAUCAGAAAACUUUUAAAGAUGCUAAGAGAAAACGUUUUGCUGCUGUUAUUCAGGCAAACUCCUGUAAGCAUUACGCCUUAUUUAAAAACCACUGACGUGGUCCUUCAUGCUCCACAGACUGUUGGUGUCGAGUCCUCUCAGGAAAUUUGUGAAAAUCAUCGGUGAAAGCGCAGAUUUCCUAUUCUGUUCUCGACCCUUCUAUCCCUGUCCAUAUCUCUGUUGACUUUGACAGGUUUGCACCAGUUUCUUUGCUUUGCCUGCAGGAGUUGGUCUCUCACCUGAAGCUCUCAGGUUCCCCUUAUGAUGCUCUCCCUCCUUGAUUUUUCAAAGAGGUUUUCCUCACUACAGCACCAUUUGUGCAAUCCAUUGUAAAUAGUGGUUUUCCCUCUGGUGUUGUAUUUGUCAGUCGUAAACAUGCAUUGAUUCAGCCUCUACUCAAGAAACCUGCUCUUGAUCCUGAUAUUACUGCAAAUUACAGGCUUAAUCUCCAAACUGCCUUUGAUCUCAAACAUUAAUGAAAAACAGAUUACAAGCAAUUAAUGUCCUUUUUAGAAGAACACAGUAUUUUAGAAGUUUUUCAAUCUGGUUUUAAAGUUUUGGAUAGUACAGAAUCUGCCCUUCUAAGAGUUUUUAAUGAUGUGUUUUUAGUGACUGACUCAGGUGACUGUUAUUAUCGUGCUUUUACAUUUAACUGCUGCCUUUGAUAGAGUGGAUCAUAAGAGUUUAAUUUACAGCAGUCGGCGGGUGUUAGGAGUACCACACUGCAGUGGUUCACAUCCUAUUUGGCACAGCGAACUUUCUCUGUGAAACUUGGUGAAUUUUUUUGUUUUUAAAUCUCUGAAUGACCGUGGGUUUGCUGUAGCCGCUCCAAAGUUGUGGAAUGAUCUGCCCUUGUACGUUAGGCAGGCCUCUUCUUUCUCAGUUUAAAACUCUUAUUAUAACAUAUUUAUCUGCUGAAGCCUUUGGCACUCUUUGAGGGGUUGACUCAACUUGUUUUAUCAACUUGUUUCAACAUGUUUUGUUUUAUUUUUAUUUUAUUCAUUUAUUUAUUUUAUCUUAUUUUGUGUUAUUUUGUUUUAUUGUGUUUAUGCUAUUGGUAUAUGUACAGAACUUUGUGAACCCUGGUUUUAUGUCAAAGUGCUUCAUAAAUAAAGCUGGUAUGGUAUGUUUGGCACCACUGUAGCAAGUCUCCAGCUACUGAGGGGACCCACCACGACACGUCAACACACAGGAUGUGGAUGAGUGCACAGU